GGACCCGCACAAUCGGUGGAGCGUGUGGUUCAAUUCGAGACAAAGCGAAAAACCUUACCAAGUUUUGACAUGCUACCGUUUUAACCCGCUAGAAAUAGUGGGCUAUCCGCAAGGAUGGUAGCACAGCUGCUGCAUGGCUGUCGUCAGCUCGUGCCGUGGGGUGUUCCAUUAAGUUGGAGAACGAGCGCAACCCGUAUCCGAUGUUACAAGUGUCAUCGGAGACUGCCCUGGUCUUUUCCAGGGAGGAAGGAACGGACGACGUCAAGUCAGCACGGCGCUUAUAACUUGGGUUACACACACCCUACAAUGGCGAAUAACAAUGGGACGCAAGCCGGUAACGGCAAGCAAAUCCCCAGUAAAUUUCGCCUCAGUUCAGAUUGAGGUCUGCAACCCGACCUCAUGAAGUCGGAAUCGAUAGUAAUCGCGAAUCAGAAGGUCGCGGUGAAUACGUUCUCGGGUCUU
rnacentral:rRNA from 1 species